rnacentral:rRNA from 1 species
UACGUGAGGGGCAAGCGUUGUCCGGAAUUAUUGGGCGUAAAGCGCGCGCAGGCGGUUAAUUAAGUUGGGUGUUUAAGCCCGGGGCUCAACCCCGGUUCGCAUCCAAAACUGGUUGACUUGAGUGUAGGAGAGGAAAGUGGAAUUCCACGUGUAGCGGUGAAAUGCGUAGAGAUGUGGAGGAACACCAGUGGCGAAGGCGACUUUCUGGCCUAUAACUGACGCUGAGGCGCGAAAGCGUGGGGAGCAAACAGG